rnacentral:tRNA from 1 species
CAAAAAAUAGUUUUUUUUAAAAAUAGUAACAUUGGAAGUUACAGACCAAUAGUAUUUAUUGUUUUUUGA